CAUUUUAAUUGAUGUAGGCAUGAAGUGGCUCAUUUGGGGAGGAAGCAGUAAACUCAAAGCUCUGCACACAGGCUGCAAAGAGAGCAACAGUGGAACUCUUAGAUGACAACCUCCUCCACAUGCAGGUUACAGCAGGAGCAUACCUGUUUAGUUGACAGAGUUGGGGAGUGGACGUUCAAGAAGGAAGGACACCUGUAUGCCUGCAGCAAAGCAUAUCUUCAUGGAAUAUAAACAAACUGCUACGUCUCUAAAGAAACAGAACGAACAGAAGGGUAGUUUCUGGAAGAUAUGCUCAAUAGCUACCAGCCCCUGGAGGACGAAGGCCAACCCUGCAGGUGUUCAGUUGAGCUCACUGGAUGUCUUGCCAGUGGAAUCUGAUGUGUGACAAGAGAGGUGACUCAGUCCCUGCUGAUUUUCCUUCUCUAACC